AUGGCUACUCCUCUGAAACCCCCAGACUAUCUGUUCUUCAUGCUGGAUGAGAGGUCAUAUGCCAGCAGCGACACUGUCAUGACCCAGACACCAGAAUCCCUGCUGGUAUCUCCAGGAGACAGUGUCGCCAUCAACUGCAAAGCCAGUGCCAGCAUCGGCCAGCAGAUAGGCUCCAGUGGGCAGGUUGUGGUGACUCAGACUCCAGAGUCCCUGGCAGUGUCUCCUGGGGACACAGUCACUAUCCGCUGCAAAACCAGUUCCAGUGUUAGCGGCUGGAUGGCCUGGUACCAACAGAAAUCAGGACAAGCGCCUAAACUCCUCAUCCACAGCGCCUCCACCCGUCCUUCUGGGAUCCCAGACCGGUUCAGUGGCAGUGGGUCUGGCACUGACUACACAUUCACCAUCAGCAGGGUUGAAGCGGAUGAUGCUGGAGAUUAUUACUGUCAAAAGCAUGACACCGCCCCUCUCACACAGUGA